GCCAGACUCCUACGGGAGGCAGCAGUGAGGAAUAUUGGUCAAUGGGCGGGAGCCUGAACCAGCCAAGUCGCGUGAGGGACGACGGUCCUAUGGAUUGUAAACCUCUUUUGUCGGGGAACAAAGGCGCCCACGGGUGGGCGGAUGAGUGUACCCGAAGAAAAAGCAUCGGCUAACUCCGUGCCAGCAGCCGCGGUCAUACGUAGGAUCCGAGCAUUAUCCGGAGUGACUGGGUGUAAAGAGUUGCGUAGGUGGCAUAAUAAGUAGCUAGUGAAAUCUGGUGGCUCAACCAUUCAGACUAUUAGCUAAACUGUUAAGCUCGAGACCGUUAGGGGUAACUGGAAUUUCUAGUGUAGGAGUGAAAUCCGUAGAUAUUAGAAGGAACACCAAUAGCGUAGGCAGGUUACUGGGACGGUUCUGACACUAAGGCACGAAAGCGUAGGGAGCAAACGGGAUUAGAUACCCGUGUA
rnacentral:rRNA from 1 species